rnacentral:lncRNA from 1 species
AGGUGAUGCUAAUUUUUCUCUGCCCAUCCCUGCACCAGGCAAGAGGCAUGAUGGGAACUCUAUACAGUUCCUGUGCCCUAAAAUGUGCAGCUUGGAUGGGAGACAGGCUGGGUCCAGAGACCCUACAGCAGGAGAUCUUCCGUGGGUCACUUAAGCGUCCAGCUUCUCUGAAAUUUGGAAAGCAUUUCCUACCGCGCGUCAGCAGUUUUGAGCCUUGCAGGAAACUCUAGAUCACUCUUGGAUAGGUACCAAGGCGUUGAGGAAAGCAUGGAGGCAGAGAUGGAGAGUCUGAACUCCACUGCUGGGAGAUGGCAUCGUGACUACAGCUAGGGAGGUGGCUGGGGAUGCCCAUCGCCCAGGAGACCCUCCAUCCAGGUGACUGACAGCCCCGGGCCAGGCCUGAGUCAGUGUGUGCAAUCGCAGCCCACUCGGGCAUGCUCUUCCAAAGUAAGGUCACGGUCUACCUUUCUGAGGCAGAUUUCCUUACCCAGGAUACACGCCUGGUGGCUAUCACCCAGGGCACCCUGAAAAGGAUCGCUCAGACUCGGGAGGGGUCAG